rnacentral:rRNA from 1 species
UACGUAGGGACCGAGCGUCGUCCGGAAUCAUUGGGCGUAAAGAGCGUGUAGGCGGCCCCUUAAGUCCUGCGUGAAAUCCUGCGGCUCAACCGCAGACGGUCGUGGGAAACUGGAGGGCUAGAGUGCGGGAGAGGAGAGUGGAAUUCCCGGUGUAGCGGUGAAAUGCGCAGAUAUCGGGAAGAACACCCGUGGCGAAGGCGGCUCUCUGGAACGCAACUGACGCUGAGACGCGAAAGCGUGGGGAGCAAACAGG